rnacentral:rRNA from 1 species
AUGUGCGCGGCCUCAACACUCGCGCACCGCCACGCCAUUCGCACUUUGCUGGACACCACCGGCGCCUCAAUUGUGUGCUUGCAAGAAACUAAAAUGGAUUUGAUCUACUCGUCUGUUGUUCUUGACAUGCUUGGCUCAGAAUUCUAUGAUUAUACUUAUCUUCCGGCCCAAGGCACACAGGGCGGCAUUUUGCUCCCAUGGAAGAGCAGGGCCAUGUCGAUCACGGAACCAAUGUUCACCAUGAACACGCUCACUGCCAAGGUGGCCACGGCCUCUGGCACGCCAUGGUGGCUCACGGUGGUCUAUGGACCCCAAGAUGACGUGGACAAGGUGGCAUUCAUGAAAGAAUUACGGGAGAUUAGGGCGGAUUGCGCCGGGCCAUGGAUGUUAUGUGGUGACUUCAACCUCAUCCUUCGAGAUGAGGAUAAGAGUACGGGCAACCUGAACAGGCGCAUGAUGGGCAGAUUCCGCCACCUCGUCAACGAUCUCGCGCUUAAGGAGAUUUACCUAAACAGACAGCUCUACACAUGA